AGCGAAGGAGCGCGGGGAGCGGGCGGUGGCGGCACCGGCCCGGCCCCAGCCCCCGGCUCGGACGUUCCCCCGCGCGGUUCCCGUGGUUCCAAAGCGUUCCCACGAGUUAGGUUUAACUUCGUGGCAUUCUGAGUAUGAAUGUUUUUGGACUUUAAUCCUUUUCGAUUGAACCAUACAGACUAAUUCUUCAGCGUACUCCUUACAAAGAAAUGCAAAACUCGCUACGUCCGUAGAAGGAAACUUUAAUGGAAGAGGACAUCAGUUUAUAACAAAAUCCAUCAGAUUUUUUUUCCACUUUACCUUUUACAAUUAUUUCCAAUUAUUGAGCCAGUUACUGGGUGGUGGCUUUAACCUUUCUCUGUUUUUAAGUUCUCCAAUCAUUGUACCCACGUCAUUUAUGGCUUUGGGAUGAUACAAGGCUCAGAGGGUUUAUUUGUCUGUAGAUUUCUCAGCAAUUCUGGUCCAAGGAUAAAUCACUUCUGCCAACAAAAUAGGUAUGGGUUAACGUUGUUCUUUGGAGUAUGGCUCCUGAGAAAAAAGUGCUGAGUUACAGGGGUUUUCUGUUCUCUGUGGGAUUUACUUUUGGGAUUUUUACUUCUAAGAACUGAAAAAAAUAAAAUGUCUCAUAGAUCUUUCUAGAUCACAGUCCACAGGUGAAAGCUGUAAUUUCAAUGAUACUUAUAGAUAAAUAUGCUAUGGGUAGUAUCAUCUAUUUGUGUCCUUUAAAUAGGAUCCCUCUUAAAAUUCUGAACCUUGGGUUUUAUCAGCAUUAAAGAAAUACACAAGAAACAUAAAUGUAAUUUAUCUAUGUCUAUUAGCUAAAGUGAAGUGGAAUCUGCAAAAUCAUGAGUGGAACUUUGCUUGGUUGUAGCAAGAUAAAUUUAAAUUAGGCCUGCUGCCGUUAGAAUGAGGUACUUUCAGUUGUGACAUUCUACCAUUAGUAUUAAUAUGGAUGUUAAAACUGUGUUUCAAUUCUUUCCAUUUGUUCAUUGUUGAUAUUUGUCAAAGGGAAAUGUAGUUAGAUUAAGUCUAGACAGCCCCAGCCAUCUGUCAUCCUUGUGACAGUUGACCUGGAUUCUGAAGUGAUGCCAUUUAACUUUUGUGUCAGUCUGGUGCAGCCACGUGGAACUUCAUUUUAGCAGAGGAGGUUUGAUUGAGUUACGUAAUCAGUCCGAGCUGCAAAUGGAGCUACUCUUGUGUCAAGAAGAACUGCAAGGGCAUUUGUCUGCUACUGUGGAGGGCUGCUGCCAGUUUAGACCCGUGGGCUGGUCACAUAGAGCUGGACUGGGCUCUCUCUGCUGUUUACUUUCUAGUAGGCAAGGACACUAUUUCCAUUCCCUUUCCAUUAACUUUUAUAUUUUCUCCUUACCCCAUGUUUUAUUUUAUCUCUUACACAAACCUGUGUUGCCAAGGUUCUGGAAAUGCAAAGGAUUUGGAGAGAGGAACCUUUCAAGACCUCAUCGUGUAAGUUGGGAACAAUUGUUUAUGCCCAUAACUCAAGGUGAUCUGAGACCACAAAGAGUGUGUUCUUGAAGAGGGCUUAUAAAAUAGUACUGACUGAGUAUCACAAGAAGCAAUACAGUACUUGGAAGGAGAAUGUGGUCCGAACAUGUAUUUUAGCAGUGUUCCUGCUUAACCUUUCUGCUUACGGAUAUGUGACAUGGGCAGCUGAGGCUGUGUACAGGUUCCACUGUUCCACUUCUUCUGUUUGAGAAGGAGAUCUGCCAGUGUCCAGGUGCUCUCAAGGAGCACAACAACGCUGCAGUCACUGCUGGGACUCACUCGCUGCAGCCGAGGAGCACAGUCUUCAAGAGCAUCCAAACACCCAGAUCAGCUAUUUCAAAGUCUGCACAACUGUAUCAACUAAGCUCUGCCUUGCUCAGAUGGCAGUAAUUUUUCAGUUACCACUUGUAUGGGAAUUUUUGUUAUUUCAGAGCAAUAAGAAAUAUUAAAAUGUCUGCUGUAGUA